GCCCGCCUAGCUCAAUCGGAUAGAGCGUCAGACUCUUAACAGGCUGGGCGGUUUAAGCAAAUCUGAAGGCUGUGAGUUCGACCCUCGCGGUGGGCU